rnacentral:lncRNA from 1 species
CAAAUUCCAACACAGAAAAAUUCCCAAUUCUACCUUAUUCUUCACCACAAAAUUAAAACCCUAACAUUUAGGAAAUCUCUCCACUUUCCUUUUCACUACAAGGAGAUUUUCUUUUGACUACAAAGAGAUUAAAAACAAUCCAAAACAAAGCACAAACCAAGUACUCAGACCAAGAUUCGUCAUCAUGUGUUUAAAGAAUUUGGG